AGAAAAUGGCUGCCGUAUCACAUGGUGGACCGACGAUGUCAUGUUUACAAAGUUCAAAGACUUUUGUGGCGAUUCCCAGGACAAAGAAGUAGACUCCUUGUCGAAGACGAUAGAUCGAGUUUUGAUAAGGGACCAGUCAUAAUUAAUGGCAGGGGAUGGGUCUUCUUGACUUUCUCUCCGGGAAGCAUGGCACCAGUUAACGACAAGCAGCUUCUCAGGUCACGUUCAACUAUUCUUUUCCUGUUCUUUCUAUUAUUCUCCUUCGCAAGGAUUUUUGCUUCUGUCCAUGAUCAUCUGGAUAUUCUUUUACGUUUACGGGGGGAUCUAUAAGAAAUUAUUCUUGGAUUUAUAGGGGGCAACAUUGUAAUUAAAUGAAUUUGAGGGGGCCGGAAAUAACUUCGCUUUUCCAAAAAUAUCUUCCGCCCCACCCCCACCAUUGAUAUUGAAUGGUCCCAAGCUUCUACAAUCGAUCGAUAACAGAAGGCUCUAUGUAAAAAUCUUCUUAACUUGAUUGUUGAAUUUCAGAGGUGCCUUUCGUUCAAAAUGUGACAGCCUUGCCCGGCUUUCCACUGAAUUCUUUCUUAUUUUCUUAUGAAAAUAAAAGGGAUUCGAUUAAAUAAGGGGAAUAAUCAGAAUUUUUGAAUAGUAAAACGAGCUAGACAAAAAAUCAUGUUAAUAAUCAAAAUGAGGAACUACUUCAUAAUGAUUUUUCGUGAAUUUUGUUGAUUUGCAAACACUAGCAAAAAUUAUUCAUGAAGAAUUUCAUUGUAAUAAAUUCAUUGUAAGAAAAUUUCUGCUUUAAGAUAAAGGAGAAACGGGAAGGAAAUUUAAAAAAACCGGAACACCGAAAGAAAGCAAGCGAAACCGGGAGCCUCCCGGCAAAACCAAGAAAGUUGACAGAUCUUAUGCUAGUUUAGGCACGAUUUUAGGCCAUGAGGGCUGUCUGAUUAUCUAUGAAGUCUAAAAUUUUUUCAUUAGUAACCAAGAGAAAACAGCCGUAAAACGACAUUGGGAUUUUCUUAAACGAUCUCUAGGACACUCUAUCCAUACCAUCCGGCUAGCACCGCAAUGCGAGCCAACUAUGCAAGCAGAUUGCAGCGUAAACUGUAAAGUUUCUUGCUUUCAUUACAAGAAGUAACAUGUGCAUUAAUUAUAUUUUAUUUUUGUUAGGUUGACUACGAGUCGUCGUACUAAGAAGUAGAAGGGAAGACAGCAAAGGAAUUCUUGAGCAGCAAUCAUGUGCCAGCGAUGAAUACAAAGCCUACAUAGCUGCAAAAUCUGCUUGAUAACAAAAGUAGCGGUAUUGGUUUUUGUUUAGGUUUGGCAUAUUUGAAAGCAUAACUUGACACUUUUACAAACUAAAGAAAAACCCCAGAUUGUUAGCCAGUUGUUGAUUCAGUGAAGUUAAAACAUCCCACAAGAGGCAGCUUUAUUUCAAACAGCAUAGCUCCUGAAACAAAGCCAAUUGAAUAGACAAUAUAGAAAUAGGCGUUUCUGACCAUCCCUUAAGAACACGCCCUUUUCAGUCCAAGUUACAAUAAACACAAGACUUAUCCAAGUGACCGAUUAGGCCUCGGUUACAGAAGACAAGCUCCAGAAAGAUCAGAGAUUCAAAAAGUGACUUUAAGUUGACUUCCCAUCGGUAUUAUUAGCGAGUGAGACCCUUAUAAAGGUUCGUUUAAUAGCGCAUUUUAUGAGAUUGGAUGAGAGACUGGUAGCAAAUGUUGAUAGAAAUAUGUAUAAAAGUUGUUUGAGUACUCUGUGACAAUAUAUAAAAGAGUGUACAACAUUUUCAUUAAAGAUCGGGGAAUCUACAUAUUUUCAAAAUGUGCUAGAUCAAAUAAUUUUAAGGGGACCACGCUCGUGAAAUGUGCGUAAAUUUGAAACAGGGGUGUAUGACCACUCUUUCUGAAGGGAGGGGUAAUAUUUCUGUAAUUCACAGCAAAAAACUGCGUUGACCGCUGAUGAAUGUAGUGUUUGGUUGUAGGGUGUUGUAAACGUAUAUAAGAUGCUAACUAAAAGUAUCUAUUUAUUCCUUAAAGUUGUUAUUAAAUUUUUCAACAUUUUGCUUAAACUGGUUAGACUUAAAGGCUUUUAUACUUUUUGUAGUGGCGUUCCCAUAUUCAGUUAGACACCUUAUGAUUACCAGCGUAGAUUCAUUCUACGUUCUCAUCUAAACGUGAUCUCCUUUUACGUUCUACCUUGUAAACAACUAGCUACUCUGGCAAGGGGAAUCAUUGGCAAAGUGAGGCUUUAGAAAUCUGCUAUUGAAUUUCCUUUGUCAAAGGCGAGAAGUCUUUGUGCAGCUAAAUUCGGUUGAAACAUAUUUUUUGUUGCUUAGUUAUUUAAUCGAUUUAAUUGUGCAUUUGUAAAAUUGUUAUUUGAAUUAUGAACUUCUGCCUAGAA